AACGAACGCUGGCGGCAUGCCUAACACAUGCAAGUCGAACGAGACCUUCGGGUCUAGUGGCGCACGGGUGCGUAACGCGUGGGAAUCUGCCCUUCGGUUGGGAAUAACUGAGAGAAAUUUCAGCUAAUACCUUAUAUGUCUUCGGACCAAAGAUUUAUCGCCGAGGGAUGAGCCCGCGUAGGAUUAGGUAGUUGGUGGGGUAAUGGCCUACCAAGCCGACGAUCCUUAGCUGGUCUGAGAGGAUGAUCAGCCACACUGGGACUGAGACACGGCCCAGACUCCUACGGGAGGCAGCAGUGGGGAAUAUUGGACAAUGGGCGAAAGCCUGAUCCAGCAAUGCCGCGUGAGUGAUGAAGGCCUUAGGGUUGUAAAGCUCUUUUACCCGGGAUGAUAAUGACAGUACCGGGAGAAUAAGCUCCGGCUAACUCCGUG
rnacentral:rRNA from 1 species